GUCGACAUCGGACGCUAUGGCACACUCGUGCCUUAUGUGCCACCGAAGCCCCGAAGUGGUCUGGCAUAUACCUUCACAUGUAAGUAAACGAAUGUAUCUCCUUGUUGAGAAUAUCACGCGAGUAGGCAGCUCUUGUGGUACAUCACAAUCGUUUGAGAAGCGUCACAGUAGAGCAUUUUUCUGCAUCCGGAGCGGUGUUUUUAUUUGCAGGUUUCCCUUCAGUAGGAAAUUGCUGGACAGGCGGACCAGCGCACCGGAAUUGUACUGGCGAAGCCACAAGCAACUCAAAGAAUCUGUUUAAUUGUUGCACUUUGAACAAUCAUGCUUCUACAAAGGCCACAGCAGAUCAACAGCCUGAUGCCGAGUAUUUCUGUGCCACGAAGUAAUCAAGAGGCGAGUGCCUAAUGCGGACGAAAUCGAGUGCAUCGAGACUUAGAACGACAGAAAGCUGAGCUAGUUGACAAUGCCUACGCCUAGCCACAGCAGCUCCCUCAUACAGACUCCACAAACCAAGAGGCCGUGGAGGCAAAUGCAGGCAGCCAGCACACCUCGAACAGCCACCUUGACUGCGGGUGUGUCACCCUAGUCGCCAAGGAAACAUUUGAGGGAAAGUGACAGGCAAUGUGAACAGCCACUUCUCCAUGUAAACAAUACUCUUUCUCUCGGAUGACUCCUACGCCUCACCACGCCAGCACACUUGUGCACAAAGAUGCCGCAGAGGCACGUGCAGGUCAGAGGCAAGAAGCAGUGGCACUGGUGUCGACAUUUACCCAAUUUCUUUUUCUUGCACUGAGGCAGCCAGCACACCUCGAACAGCCACCUUGACUGCGGCUGUGUCAGUAGAUUCCUGUUGUACAUAUGCUCAUAAUAAACUUCAGUAAACCUGAACUUCAUAAUAAACUUGAAGGCAAAUGGGA